CCUACGGGGGGCUGCAGUGAGGAAUAUUGCUCAAUGGGCGCAAGCCUGAAGCAGCGACGCCGCGUGGGCGAUGAAGGUUUUCGGAUCGUAAAGCCCUUUUCUCUGGGACGAGCAAGGACGGUACCAGAGGAAUAAGUGUCGGCUAACUACGUGCCAGCAGCCGCGGUAAAACGUAGGACGCAAGCGUUAUCCGGAAUUACUGGGCGUAAAGCGCGUGUAGGCGGAUGAUUAAGUCAUUGGUGAAAGCUCCGGGCUAAACUCGGAGAGGUCCGAUG
rnacentral:rRNA from 1 species